rnacentral:rRNA from 1 species
AUUGAACGCUGGCGGCAGGCCUAACACAUGCAAGUCGAGCGAGCGGCGGACGGGUGAGUAAUGUAUGGGGACUGCCCGCUAGAGGGGGAUAACUACUGGAAACGGUAGCUAAUACCGCAUCCUAUCGGAUAACCCAUAUGGGAUUACCUGGUAGGUGAGGUAAUGGCUCAACUAGGCGACGAACCCUAGCUGGUCUGAGAGGAUGAUCAGCCACACUGGGACUGAGACACGGCCCAGACUCCUACGGAGGCAGCAGUGGGGAAUAUUGCGCAAUGGGCGCACGCCUGAUGCAGCCAGGCCGCGUGUAUGAAGAAGGCCCUAGGGUUGUAAAGUACUUUCAGUCGGGAGGCGUUACCGACAGAAGGAGCACCGGCUAACUCCGUGCCAGCAGCCGCGGUAAUUC